UACGUAGGGGGCAAGCGUUGUCCGGAUUUAUUGGGCGUAAAGCGCUCGCAGGUGGUUCGAUGCGUCGUGCGUGAAAGACCCCGGCUCAACUGUGGGCGUGCGGGCGAUACGGGCAGACUAGAGUACUGCAGGGGAGACUGGAAUUCCUGGUGUAGCGGUGGAAUGCGCAGAUAUCAGGAGGAACACCGGUGGCGAAGGCGGUUCUCUGGGCAUGUCCUGACGCUGAGGAGCGAAAGUGUGGGGGAGCGAACAGG
rnacentral:rRNA from 1 species